CGUAACACGUAUGUAACCUACCUUGUUCAGGGGGAUAGCCUCUCGAAAGAGAGAUUAAGACCGCAUAAAAUCACAAUGUGGCAUCACAAAAUGAUCAAAUAUUUAUAGGAACAAGAUGGGCAUGCGGAACAUUAGCUAGUUGGUGAGGUAACGGCUCACCAAGGCGACGAUGUUUAGGGGAUCUGAGAGGAUGGCCCCCCACACUGGUACUGAGACACGGACCAGACUCCUACGGGAGGCAGCAGUAAGGAAUAUUGGUCAAUGGACGAAAGUCUGAACCAGCCAUGCCGCGUGCAGGAAGACGGCCCUAUGGGUUGUAAACUGCUUUUGCAGGGGAAUAAACCUCUCUACGUGUAGAGAGUUGAAUGUACUCUGAGAAUAAGGAUCGGCUAACUCCGUGCCAGCAGCCGCGGUAAUACGGAGGAUCCGAGCGUUAUCCGGAUUUAUUGGGUUUAAAGGGUGCGUAGGUGGCCUGUUAAGUCAGGGGUGAAAGACGGUAGCUCAACUAUCGCAGUGCCCUUGAUACUGAUGGGCUUGAAUAAACUAGAGGUAGGCGGAAUGUGACAAGUAGCGGUGAAAUGCAUAGAUAUGUCACAGAACACCAAUUGCGAANGCAGCUUACUAUGGUUUUAUUGACA
rnacentral:rRNA from 1 species